AGGUCAGUAGCUCAAUUGGCAGAGCGUCGGUCUCCAAAACCGAAGGUUGCGAGUUCGAUUCCCGCCUGACCUG
rnacentral:tRNA from 1 species